UGCCUGCGACAGGACUUGAACCAGCAUUCUUCUUAUCUGAAGUCAGAUGCCUUAUCCAAUAGGCAAAGUGGGC